rnacentral:rRNA from 1 species
AUGAAAACCAUGAUUUCAACAUUUUCUUACUCGGAUGCGAUAGUUAUGUCGCCCAUAAGCAUCAAGUACACAACAGAUGUGCUAGAGAAAACACAUCAAUACAAAAGCCACCUUCAGAUAGAAGGCCAGAUGAACUACAACAUGACUCGGUACCCUCCACUUUUCACUUCUAUAGACAUAGUCGAGCUGAGCUAUCAGAUUACCCACAAAGCCAGCCAUCCACUAGGAACUAAGUUAACUAAAAUCCAAGCAGACAUGAACAUCCCAGAAAUAAGUACUCACAUCCUCCACCUACUCAAAUCCUACUGUUAG